GUUACUUCAUAACUGAUCUUGGGAUGAUCUUUUGGUUUUAUCCUGCACUUGGUGGAAUGGAGUAUGUGAUACAUCAUCUCCUUUCUCUCUUAGCUGUGGCCUAUGCUAUGUUGACUGGUGAGGGGCAGCUUUACACUUACAUGGUUCUCAUCUCUGAGACGACCACCCCCGGGAUCAAUUUGAGAUGGUACCUUGACACAGC
rnacentral:misc_RNA from 1 species